GACGAACGCUGGCGGCGUGCCUAACACAUGCAAGUCGCACGGGGUAGCAAUACCCAGUGGCGAACGGGUGCGUAACACGUGAGGAACAUACCUAUCGGCGGGGGAUAGCCGGCCCAACGGCCGGGUAAUACCGCGUACGCUCUCCGGGGGGCAUCUCCUGGGGAGGAAAGCAGCAAUGCACCGAUAGAGUGCCUCGCGGCCUAUCAGCUAGUUGGUGAGGUAAUGGCUCACCAAGGCGACGACGGGUAGCUGGUCUGAGAGGAUGAUCAGCCACAUUGGGACUGAGACACGGCCCAGACUCCUACGGGAGGCAGCAGUGGGGAAUCUUGCGCAAUGGGCGAAAGCCUGACGCAGCGACGCCGCGUGUGGGAUGAAGGCCUUCGGGUCGUAAACCACUGUCGCGAGGGACGGAAUACAUUGACGGUACCUCGAAAGGAAGCACCGGCUAACUCUGUGCCAGCAGCCGCGGUAAUACAGAGGGUGCGAGCGUUG
rnacentral:rRNA from 1 species